CUACGGGCGGCUCCAGUGAGGAAUAUUGCACAAUGGGGGGAACCCUGAUGCAGCAACGCCGCGUGGAGGAUGACGCAUUUCGGUGUGUAAACUCCUUUUAUAUGUCAAGAAAAUGACGGUAGCAUAUGAAUAAGCACCGGCUAACUCCGUGCCAGCAGCCGCGGUAAUACGGAGGGUGCAAGCGUUACUCGGAAUCACUGGGCGUAAAGGACGCGUAGGCGGGAUAUCAAGUCAGGUGUGAAAUCCUACAGCUUAACUGUAGAACUGCACUUGAAACUGGUAACCUAGAGUAUGGGAGGGGGAGAUGGAAUUAGUGGUGUAGGGGUAAAAUCCGUAGAUAUCACUAGGAAUACCUAAAGCGAAGGCGAUCUCCUGGAACAUUACUGACGCUAAGGCGUGAAAGCGUGGGGAGCAAACAGGAUUAGAUACCCUCGUAGUC
rnacentral:rRNA from 1 species